AAAUUGAAGAGUUUGAUCAUGGCUCAGAUUGAACGCUGGCGGCAGGCCUAACACAUGCAAGUCGAACGGUAACAGGAAUCAGCUUGCUGAUUCGCUGACGAGUGGCGGACGGGUGAGUAAUGUCUGGGAAACUGCCUGAUGGAGGGGGAUAACUACUGGAAACGGUAGCUAAUACCGCAUAAUGUCGCAAGACCAAAGAGGGGGACCUUCGGGCCUCUUGCCAU
rnacentral:rRNA from 1 species